rnacentral:piRNA from 1 species
UUUCAAAUAUGUGUAUUUUGGAAGUGAUC